GUUUGAUCCUGGCUCAGGAUGAACGCUAGCGGCAGGCUUAGCACAUGCAAGUCGAGGGGCAGCGCGAUGUAGCAAUACAUUGGCGGCGACCGGCGCACGGGUGCGUAACACGUAUGGAACUUACCCUUUACUGGGAGAUAGCCCGGAGAAAUCCGGAUUAAUAUCCCAUAAUAAACGAAGUGGCAUCACUUUGUUUUGAAAGCUCCGGCGGUAAAGGAUGGCCAUGCGCACGAUUAGCUAGUAGGUGAGGUAACGGCUCACCUAGGCUACGAUCGUUAGGGGGCCUGAGAGGGUUAUCCCCCACACUGGUACUGAGACACGGACCAGACUCCUACGGGAGGCAGCAGUGAGGAAUAUUGCGCAAUGGAGGCAACUCUGACGCAGCCAUGCCGCGUGCAGGAAGAAGGCGCUACGCGUUGUAAACUGCUUUUAACCGGGAAGAAACCCUCCGACGUGUCGGAGGUUGACGGUACCGGAGGAAUAAGCACCGGCUAACUUCGUG
rnacentral:rRNA from 1 species